GCCCCACCCGAACAAUGUUGCAAGUUUGUGGUAUGCUCACGCCUGUGCCAAGGUAGAGCAAACUUGGAGUAGAUUAAGAUCCCCAUGGUAAAAUUCACCCCUUGGGUGUGAUAGAAGAGUUCUGACUCGGGAGCAAUGGGAACAAGCCAAAAGAACGAGCGUUGAGACAGAGAGAGUUUGAUAGUUGCUUUGGGCAUAUAUAAAACACACUGAUUAACUUUGCCAGAAUUGGGAGUUCUUACAGGAAGAUCCCCAAAGUCCCUGCUGAACCAUCCUACCAUCCACCCCUGAUUCCAAAGAGAACAGAUGAGAGUACCCAAUUAUAUUUUGCUAAGCAACCACCUGACCUCUGUAUUUUUCAAUGCAAUGAACAAAAGAAUGCCAUCAGAAAAAGUGAGACCUGCACACAGUGCCAAUGGCUCCUCUUCAGUGUUCUAGUCAACUGGCUGUUCUAUGGUACUCUCCCUCUAAAAGCUCAGUACUCACUAGACCCCUGAGUCCCUCUCCAGGUUAAUUUCUACAGAUGUUCCAUACCUCUCCAAUCCCAGAAAGAAGAGGAAUGAAAAAUGUCCAGUGAUUUAUAUUACAUGCUUAAUAAGGAAAACUGUGAUCGCUCAAAUAAAACAGCUGUGUACCAGGAAGAAAAAGAGAAACAAUGAAAGAGAAUGCACUAAGGAGACAGCAGCAAAUAAAAUUCCAUAUGUACAUAGCCACUGUACAGUAAAGAUGACAGCAAUGUGGUGUGCUCUGAAAGUUAAGUUGUCACACUCAGUUUCUCAUAUUUGUUGACAAACACAAGCAACUGUAAGCUGAGUCAUGGCAACUGGGCUUCUUUCUUGUUAGAUUGAAACGAUUUGCUACUCAUUGAAGUAGCUUCUUCAGUCUGAGGAAAGUUGGUAGGAGACUCGUGAUAUAUCCUCCCCAUUGGUUUCAUUUCUCCCUGGCCUGAAUAGGCUCAUUAGAUGGAUAAUGGAUUGGGAUUGAGUGAAAUAUCCCACCUCUGCAGUCCUUCUCCACACAUUGACUCUCAUUGCAACACAUACUAAGGGUCAUCAGGAUGCUAAACUACAGAGCAAGAAACAUCCCCACCUCCACAGAAGCAAGAAGAAGGCCUGUGAAUAACCAAAAUGGGCUUUUAACAAGGUAGUGUCCCAACCAAGGAGGACAAUGGAACAGUCUGAGACCCAAAGCUGAGGGAAGAAUCUGGUCAUUCUUUACAUGAUGGGUGUGUCUGAAAAGAUCAAAAGGAUCUUUUCAGACCCGUUCACUUCAAACCCACUAAGGCAGAGAAUCGCCCACACAGAAGCCCACACACCAAAACACAAGAGCAAUAUACUAUAUGUGGUCUGAUGCAAAGACUUUUCGGAGCUCUACGCUGGAGAAACCAAACAGCCACUACACAGGAGAAGGCCCCAGCACAGGAGGGGCAAUGACUCAGGACCAUAAUCAGCAGUGUUCCAUCAUUUAAAGCACUGGUUCUUAACCUUGGGUUACUCAGGAGUUUUGGACUGCAACUCCCAGAAGCCUUCACCACCAGCUGUCCUGACUGGGGUUUCUGGGAGUUGCAGUUCAAAAGCAUCCGAGUAACAAAGGUUAAGAACCACUGAUUUAAAGGACAAAUGGCACACAUUUGAUGACCAAGAUGUACUCAGAAAAUCCCUCACUCAACAGGGGUGGAGGCCUUAGAUACAAUCUGUCUCCUAUUUAUCAUCCUGCCCUUUUAUCUGUCCCCAGAAAGAUGGGGAACACAACCACCUGAAAGACCACUGUUAACGACCCACGACAAUGG
ensembl:lncRNA